UGAUUGCUAACGCUGGAAUUUUAAUUUGCAGUUUUCUCUGUUUUUUUUUUUUUUUUUUUUUUUUUUUUUUUUUUUUUUUUUUUUUUUUUUUUUUUUUUUUAGGGUUCAGAGCCCCUUUGUUUGACGUUAGAGUAAGUGACCAUUACCGUGUGCGCUCUGUGCGAGGGAUGUUUUGGAUAGUGAAAGUCACAUGUCUAGGGGAGGCUUCAGUCUUCAGGGAGACCUGGAGGAGGUCUUGCAAGGAGCCUUACAAUUAACAGCAGGUGUGUAAACCUACAGGUUGUUUUUCCUGGCCUUGUGCAAGAGGACGAGGAGCUUCUGCGCCUUCUAUAAGGUUAUCAGCCUUUGUGCUACGGUGCCAGGAAGGAGUCUUAACACGUGAUAUCUUCAAGCAUCUGAUGGGGUUUCUGAGCGCCAGAGGCCACAGGAGCAGCAGGAAGGUGGCCAGCCAUGCAGCAGGAAGAGGCUCUCGCCAGUCACUGGAUGCAACAUGACUGAUCUUGGGCGUCCCAUGCUCCAGCACUUGAAUAACAACCGUUUGUCAUCUGAGUUUCCCAGUUUGUGCUGUUUGUUAUAGCAGCCGAAAAGGACUGAGACAAUCACGACUGUCUACAUACAGGCGAAAGAGCCAGUGAUCGCAAUGGCCAAUUGAUUCGCCCUCCAACCAGCUAUGGAGGUGCAGAGUGCUGGGCCGAUGAGCAGGGCACACUCUCCGGUGCCCUCGUUUCUCUGGGUGAGAUUGGGUGAUUGUUUCUCUCUGAUGACUUCUGGUGGAUCCCAUCAGCUAAGCCUCAUGUCUCUCAGCUCAAGCUGAGGAGCUUCAGAAACCAAGACACAUUCCUAUCUUUUCUUUCUCCUUUUCAUCAUGUUCCAGUGUCAACUGCUUCAGUUCAAGCUCCAUAAGAACAAUUUUCGGAAAAGCUACCCUUGUGGAAUGGACUCCUGGCCCAGUCUUGUCUCCUCCUCACCAUUGAGGCUUGUGGCUGGGCACGUGGCUGCCUUGUGGAACAGAAGGGUUCUGUGCCUUUCCAAGUCUGACUUGUGAUAUCCACAGUUGACUUUCCCUUCCUGAGGACUGAGACAAAAGAAAUUCCUGCCUUUGGACUCAAUCAUGUAGAUAGCAGUGGAGAGUUCAGAUGGAGGAACUCUGGUCUCCAAAGGCUCUCGAAGAAGGACCCAUUUACUGGCCUGGACAGCUUACUUUGGAUUUGAAAGAUGUAACUGCUUACCCAUAAUGAGCCACUAGAUUGCUGUUGAAUCUCUUUAUUCCAGCAAGGAGGCUUUCCUGAGCUAAUAUAGCUUAGCAUGCUUGAUAGUGUUCUAGGACCAAGCCAACUGCCCAGUUGGAGCUCUCCUGAGUGAGGCAGGCACACAGAGAGCUGAAAUGCUUCCUCUGUUAGAUAGAUGGAGGCAACACUGCAAGGAAGGCAGAUGACAUUUUCAGGGGAAGGGUCUGAGUUUAGAGGGUCAAGGAAGACCUCACCGGAAAAGGGACUUUUGAACAAACAUCUCAGAAAGAGCAGAGAGUGAGGCAUAUGGAAGAAAACUGGAAAGAGAAGAUGGAGACUGUGUCAAGGCCCAGCUUCAAGAGCAAGGCUGGGUUGAUUGAGGAACUGUGACUGGGCCUUCAUGCCUGGAGCGUGGUGGUAUCAGUUAUUGAUCUCUACAAAACAAACCACCAUAAGCCACAGUCAGUACUGAUGUUCCAUUCUGGGCUCAGCUCAGCCGAGAAGUCCUGUGAAUCUCAGGUGCAUGUAGGGCUUGAGACAACUCUGCUGGCUAAUGGCUGGUCUCUCUCCAGAUGGUCUCUCAUCUCUCAGGAAGCCAGUCCAGCUUCUUUACCAGGAAGCACUGGUGGCAGAGGGGCCCGAGCGGAAGCUGCCAGCCCCUUGAAGAUGUACCUCCAAAGACUCGCAUACUCUCUCAUGAGGCCCACCCAGACCCAUGAGGUGGUGAAGCCACACUGCUUGUUGGGAGGAGUGGCCACCUGGGGGCAUGGACAGAACCACUGUAUCUGUCUUCUUGGAUGCUCUGUUGCAAAAAUAAAUGAAGACUGCAAGCUGAGAAGAACCAGGGCCCCAUCACAUGGUCAUGGGGGUCUUUGUGAGACAAUGUCAAGCAAGACACCCUUUUCCAGACUUUGGCCAAUUCUAUUAAAAAACUGAUGAAAAUAGAUUGAGUCAAUAUCAUGGAUGGCAGUUCCCCAUUAUCCACAGUUUCACUCUCUGUUUUCUGAAAUAUUGCUACAGUACAGCAAGAAGUCAAUGUAUUUUUUAAAAGAUUUACUUUUUAUGAAGCAUAUGUUACAGAGAGAGGGAGAGACAGAGAAAAAGGUCUUCCAUUUGCUGGUUCACUCUCCAAAUGGCUGCAAUGGCCAGAGCUAGGCCAAUCCGAAGCCAGGAGCCAGGGUCUCCCAUGUGGGUGCAGGGCCCAAAAAAUUGGACCAUCUUCCACUGCCUUCCCAGGCCAUUAGCAGGGAGCUGAAUUGGAAGCGGAGUAGUUGGAACAGAAACCAGCGCCUACAUGGGAUGCUGGCGCCGCAGGCAGAGGCUUAGCAAUAGCCCCAGACUCAAGGUAUUGAGAGAGAGACAGAGAGACAGAGAGACAGAGAGAGAGAGAGAGAAACACUACAUUCGUGAAAUUUUUAGUACAGUAUAUCAUUAUAAAUUUUCUAUUUUAUUAGUUGUUCUCAUUCUCCUAUUGUGCCUAAUUUACACACUAAACCUUAUUAUAGGCAUAUAUAUAUACAUAUAUGUAUGGGAAAACAAGCACAUAUGGAGUGUGGUACCAUCCACAGUAUCAUGUAUCCACUGGAGGUCUUGGAAUGUAUACUCUGUGGAUGAAGGGUUAUCUAUAGAAGGGUACAUCUAGCCAGUGGCCAGGAAGAAUGCAAGUACUGGUAAACCUAUCACCCACACACCCACAUUUGGACUUACUCUGCAGGCACUGGGCCAGACCGUCUAUCCAUCAUGCCCCUCACUUCUGAGUAGCAUGGCAGCCUGAGGACACGAAUGUCCAGGGAUGUCAGGGGACUCCUCCAGGCUGGCACAGGUGACAUGGCUGAGGAUUCUACCCACAGCAUCUGCCUGGAGUCUGAACCCUCCUGCACAACGCUCUGUGGCUGAGACUGUGACAGGGUCUAGAGCAAGCAGAAGGCAUGAAGUCAGGGGCAUCACCCUGGGGACAGGCUCCCUAGGCAGAAAAGAAUCCUAAAAAUAACCCGGAGGGAGGUUCCAGAGGAAGAGCCUGGGGGCGUCCCCCAGCGCCUGCACUAAUAAGGACUGUCUUGGUCUCAGGAAGUACUUUGUUUCACAAACAGCUGGUGCUUUUCCAGCAAGAAUUGGCGCUGCUGGCCUUUCUCCUGGCGCUGAAAAAGCUCUGGGGCCUGCGGGUGGGAGGGAGGCCUCCGGAACUGGGGGCAAGGCUCCUCCUUGCCUCCUGGUGCCCAGAUAUUUCUGCCUGGGGGUGAAGGGGACAAGAACACCAGCAGGAACGGGGGCGGGUAGCCCCUCUCCCUUUCCUUAAGUUGGACUUAUUGGUGUUGAGCAAGCGUCUGAAAACACAGCUGAGGUGAAAACUCGAAAGGUGGCAAUGAAGGUCUGUGGUUUGGUUUUAACAUUCGGUGAGUAUUACUGUUCUGUGUGCUAGGCGCUGCUCCCUGUUCAUGAGAACCCCAUCGAGUAGGGACUGAGUCGGUUCAGCAUUUGAGAACGCUGGAGCGUGGAUGGGCUAAGAAAGUUGCUCAGCUAGAACAGGAAGGAGAGCAGCUACUGAGGGGCUGGUGCGUAAGCUGGAUGUGUAACAGGUGUGAACACAUGGAUGCUUGCAUUUUGCACAUGUAUGCAUGCAUGCACAUGUGUGUGGUGAUUUUGGCAGGCAUGCCUUCUCCCACGACACCCCUAUUGAAAUUUUCCUAGCUUCCCCUUCAUGUGUGUGUUGGGGGUCAUUUGUCCUUGGACGUCAGAGUUUUAUUUAUCACUUGCCAUUUCUUAUCGGCCGCAGUGCCUGGAAGGCUAUUUCUCUGGGAAGAUGGAUGUGGAUAGAGCUUUUUGGGUAAAGAGCCUGUUCUGUUUCCACUCCCCCCACCACUGAGUGCUCACAGCAGACAUGGAUAUGCUGUCAUUUGAGCCCUAGGUCCUGCUUGGAGUCUGGUUUGCAGACUUGGCCCAAGUGCAGAUUUAUAUGCAUUGCAUAGCCAACUUCGCUCUGCAGAGGGAAGUCUGAGGGGAACCACAGAACCUACAUGACUGAAAAAUAGCCGUGCAGGUCUUCAGUGAGUGCCCAGGGAGUUACCCUGCUUUCCAGCUGAGCCAGGCACUGCUGCAAAGGACUUCUGCCCUUGGGAUCACCAUCAGUCCACCCAGGAGGCUGGGGAUGGUUUCUAGCACGGUGCGUUGGUGACACAGCAGUGGGCCCUGCUGCAGCCCCCGGGACAGUGGCAGUGACUCCACGCAGGCUGGGUGGUGAGGAGCAAGCCCAGGCCUCCAGAGGCAGCGUUUCUGCUUCUGGUUUUGCUGUUAACUAUCUGAAUGACAAAGGAGUCAGGAGGACGCAGAGGAGACCGUCAUCUAUGAACUAAGAAUGGGCCCUCAGCAGGCAUAGCAUCUAUUAGCACCUGCAUCUUGGACUCGCCAGCCCCCAGAACAGUGAGAAAUGAAGUCUGGGUUGUUUAUAAAUUGUUGAUAUGCUUGUGACAUUUUGUGAUAGCAUCCCAAAUGGACAAAAACAGCAAUUGGUACAGGAAGUAGGGAUGCAACUAAAAUAAACACCCCAGAUGAGCAAGCAGUUUUGGAUCUGGGCAAUGGGUGGAGGUCAAACACUUGAAGUUUGUGCCAGAAAAAUCCCACUGUAGACUCCUCAGACAUGUAAUGAUAAUGACAAGUGAAAUGAACAGUUCUCCAUGUAUACACUUGACAGCUUAGAUGGAAUAGACCUAAUCCUCAAACAUAAAUCCCUACUAUUCACCACCAUAAGAAACACAUCAUAUGAAUAGCCCUAUAACUACUAAGGAAAUUCAGUUUGUAAUUAAGAACCUCUCCCCAAAGAACUUUCCAAUGCAGAUGGCUCCCAUGGUAAGUGUUACCAUACCUGCAAAGAAGAAUGAACACAAACUGAGAUCCACCUAGUCCAGAGAACAGAAGGGGAAAGAGCAUUUCUAGUCAUUGUACUGAAAUCAAAGCCAGAGGAAACAGUACAACAGAAGAAACUGACAGACCAGUAUCCUGUGGGUAUUGACUCAAAAGUCUUUGAACAGAAAUCAGAAAUAUGUGAAGAUGGGGGCUGGUGCUGUGGCGUAGCUGGUAAAGCUGCCACCUGCAGUGCCGGCACCCUGUAUGAGCACCAGUUCAUGUCCCUGGCUGCUCCACUUCUGAUCCAGCUCUCUGCUAUGGCCUCAGAAAGCAGUAUAAGAUGGCCCAAGUCCUUGGGCCCCUGCACCCAUGUGGGAGACCCAGAAGAAGCUUCUGCCUCUUGGCUUCAGAUUGACACAGCUCCAGCCAUUGUGGCCAGUGGGGGAGUGAAUCAGUGGAUGGGAGACUUCUCUCUCUGCCUCCCCUUCUCUCUCUGUGUAACUUUCAAAUAUAUAAGUAAAUCUUAAAAAAAAUGUGACGUGAAUGAUACACCAUAACCUAGUGUGGAGGCAAGGCUGGAUCAAUUGCUGAAACCUGAUCACAGUUCCAUGUCAUAUUAAUAAGCUAAAGGAUACGUAUCACAGUUAAAUCAGCAAAUAAAAUUUAAUGCCCAUUCAUAACAACUAAAAAAAACCCUCUCAGACAAAUAUAACUAUAAGGAAACUAAUUUUAUAAAGAUUAUCACAAAAAUUCUACAAUAAUGGUGGAAGACAGGUGAUUGCUUCCCCUUAUGGUCGAGAGAGUCUAGGAUGUCUGCUGUCACUGCCUUUGUUACUCUCCUGUUUCCAGCAGCUGGUCUAGAACAUUCUUCUUGUCAUCUCACUGGCCCACAUUGGGUCACCUGCCUCUUCCUGACCACACCAGCUCCCCUGAGGCAGGUGGACGUCAGCAGCAUGUGCCCUCAGGAAGAACAGAGAGAUAUCUGUUGCCCAGAAGGCAGCCAGCACAGCACACUUCCUGUGCACCAGACAUGAGGCAGGUGCUUCAGGUUGUUCCUGCAGCGCUUAUGGACUGGGCUGUGGAUUGUCCAGAUUAUGGACACAGGUUCCCUCACACCCACGGCUAAGCUCUCAGGGACAGCGCUGGGACCUUCAUUCUCACAAGAGCCUUGACUUCCACAGCAGUUAUUUUGUGUGUUUGCACUGUCUAAAAUAACAGGUUAAAGUCUACCAUGGAAUUAAUUCUCUUGUUAAUUAUUUUUUGAAGAAAGGUGAAGCCUUCAGCCAGUGUGACCACUGGGGCUGGAUGUGGAUGAGGUGUGGGGUGGGGCUCAGAUGCCUUGGCAGUGUCCGGGGACUGCGCCAUCACUUUCAAUCUGAGAUGCAUCCUGCGGCUGUGAGUAGUUUAGGCACCACUGGCACAGGUGGGAGGAGCCUAGAAGUGAACCUCACAUCCUGGCUGGUGUCUCACCUUUGAGCAAGUGCCACACUGUGGGUUUCCCUUCUGAGCACCAGACGAGCAAGGUUCUUUGCUGUCAGGUGUGUAGAAAGAGGCCCUGACCAUCCGCAUAUUCUGCGUGAUGAGUUCCUGAAGGGGCGAAACAACUACAUGGGUAUAACUGUGGCCACAGACCUUGCAAUGAAGUACACCACGCCACAGGACCCCUUUCUGUAAGAUGGAAAAUCGGAGGGCGUAGGAAACAUGGAAAAAUACGAAUCCUUACACUGGCAAUUUUAUUUUUAAUUUUUAAAAGAUUCAUUUAUUUGAUAAGGCAGAGCUACAGACACACGCACACACACACACACACACACACACAGAGAGAGAGAGAGAGAGAGAGAGAGAGAGAUCUUUCAUUUGUUAAUUUACUCCCCAAAUGGCUGCAAUGGCUAGGGUUGGGCCAGGCUGAAGCCAGGACCCAGGUCUCCCAUGUGGGUGCAGGGGCUCAAGUAGUUGGGCCAUCCUCUGCUGCUUUCCCAGGCACAUUAGUAGGCAGCUGGAUUAGAAGUGGAGCAGCUGGACUUGUACCACCACCCAUACAGGAUGCUGGCGUCGCAGGUGGCAGCUUAACCUGCUGUGCCGCAGUACUGGAUCCUUACAGUGGCAUUCUGAACAGAAGCAGAAUGUUCCAUUUUGUUGCAACAGCACUUUCAGAGCCCCCCGGUGAGUUGCUUAUUGUUCUGUUUGUGGUUAGGUGGUGUUUGAUAGGUGCACUGUAGUGUUUGCCGGUCAACUUCCGGGUCUGGUGUUUCUCUCACAGCACCUGGUUAUUCCAAGGAUUCAGCAGUGCAGAUAGGGCAGAUGAAGGAUUAUUUAAAAGCAGCAAAACCUGAAGCCAACCCAGUUCCAGUUUUUUUCUUAUUAAGCUCUUCAAAGCAGUUUUGGUUUGGCCUCGGCAUCUGUUAUGGGAAAGGGUUUGGAUCAAGUCAUAUUUUAUCUGUUAAGUGCUUCCCCAUCUUGGUCUGCAAAGCAGUGCCUCAACUCCCUGUGGGUAUCUACCAGCUGAGACUAAAAAGCACCAAUUGUACAUACAGAAUGCGCAUCAGCAUUUACAAAACAAGAGGACCAGGAGAGGGAGACUUUUACAUUCCCAUCAAUGCUUGAAUACGUUCACUUUUUAAAGAAAUAAAUAUAAUUUGUGCUGAGGAUCCACCUUGGCUAAGUGAGCCAUGCAUGCGUGCAUAUAUGCACAUGUGUGUGCAUGUGCACACUCGUGUGCCUGGACGUGAGGAAGGGAUGGACGCAUAGCCGUGGAGACUGUCAUUGAAUUCAGUCACCUUCCACGUAGCUGUUCAUUAGGACAUCAGAGCACCGCCCACAGGGUGAAUUCUUCCAUCAGUUUCACACAGUUCCUUUCUGAAAGGUUUCAUACACGCGAAAGUUGUUUGAGUCUAAGCCAGGUUGCUCAGCAAUAUUGUGUGUUUGCUUAAUUUUAUUUAUUUAUUUUUUAUUUCAUAGCUCCUGAGACCUUAGGCAGUGAGACUAAUUCAUCAGAAGGUUCCCUGUGUUUCUUUGGGGUUUAUUUUACAGCUUGAGAAUAUUUUCAGUAAAUUGGGCACUCUGUGAAAUGUAUAUGUUGUUUAUGAACACUGAAUAGUAUUUCACUGUCAGGGGGUAGCUCUUCUAUCAGAGUUUCUUUCCAAAACACCAGCCAGGCGGUGUCAUUCACAUGCUUGCUUUCCUACUUUUCUUCUGCCCUCCUUUCUUAUUUACAAAAGGUUGCUUUUUUCUUUUUAUUUUUUUAAGAAACUUAUUUAUUUAUUUGAAAGGCCUACCAAAGAAAAGACAUAGUAUUAGUGGCCUAAAAUUGAUUAUGAACAAACACAUUCAAAUAGGGGAAAAUUGUUGGAAGAGACAAGGAGACGGAUAGGGAGAGGGAAUAUGUAUGAGAAAAAGAAACUUGAAAGCACAGGAGGAAUGUAGAAAUCCAUUUCUUUAUAUUUUAAGUAUACAGUAUAUAUACAAGUUACAAUUAUUUUUAUUUUCAAAGACAUAUAGAAUUUAUAUUCAUUUCUGAAUAUUUCUAAUGCUUGAAAAUUAACAUGCGAUUCUGUGACUUGUACAAGAUCCAACAAGUGACUGCUAUCUAUAGACAGCCCUGAUCUCAAUGAGCAUCUCUGCUUCCACCUCACAGGGCCAGGAGUUAUAUAUGCCUGCUCCCCACUGUGUAGAAUAGCAGUUUGUUUACUUUGCCCUAGAAGUGCUGUCAUCUACUCUCUCAGCAUUUAGGGAAUGGGCUCCUAUUAAAUCCACCACAGAGACUCCCACUCCGAGGGAUCCCCAAGUGACAAACCCUGACAAGUCACCCUAGAGCAGCAUCUUACCUGCCGACACCCGGUGCCACUGAGAUUUGUCCUGGGGCCCAGCCUGACCAGUGCUCCCUCAUGUGCUUGUGUGGCCUGGUGUCCCAUGGUGACACCCGGUGGAUGCAUGGUUAGUGCAUGGGAAGGCCCAGCCAGGCCAACCUGUGCCAUCCAAUUGUCUGCAGCUCUGUCGCUUUCUCCCUGUACAAGAAGGGUCAGCACAGCAUGCAGAGUAGGGUGAUCCUAUCCCGGGGAGAGGUGCCCACUUUCCAAUGCACAGACCUUGGAGACUUACUGCCCAGUGGCAAUAAUGCUUGACACUUCCCACUGGCCAGGCAACUCAUGGCCCCCCAGUUACUCUGCCCCUCCUCAACUGUGGAGAACAUGGAAACAGAGCUCCUGAGGGCAGGCAGUGUUCCUGGGAAGAGAUCAGAAGGAGCCUCAAUGAGCCCUGCCCACUCAUUCCUGGCCCAGCUGCCUAUGGAAGGCUGCUGAGGUCCAAGCCUCAGUUUCUUAAUCUGUAAAAUAGGAAACCAGAUAAUGCCCACAUAAUCAGACUCUUGUGGUCCCUGAAUGUAAUAACCAGCACCAAACAUUUAGUGCCAGGUACAGAAUAAAUGGCUGUCACAUGUUAGCUCUAUUAUUAUUAUCUAGAUCUCAUUUGCUUACCUUCCCACAGGAAUGCCAUUAGUAAGUGAUUCGGACCAUAGACAUCAUAAAUCUUCAAGUUCUAAAUGUUUUCAAACUUCUCAGCAGCAGGAUACCCUUUAGUGACAAACAAAAUCAUUACACAGUGAAAAGCAUGGAAUUGAAGACCACAGAUAGUAAAAAUGACAGCUUCUGUGUUGUUAUUUAAUAGUUUUGAAAGCUGCCAUCAUGUUUACAGUUGGCAUUUUAAAUGUCGUCUUCUGUACAGAGAAGUCAAUUUCUCCAAGGUUUUUGGGACCCCUAACUACUGUGCUUCUUCUGCCAACAGUUUUCAGGAUAGCACAGCACAGGACAUUGUUGUCAACUUAUAGAUGAUGUUUUUAAAGCUAGCACAAAUCCUCAACAUUAUUUCUUCUGUUGCUUACAUGUCAAAAGUUCAGCAAAAUAAUAUCUAGUUUGUCUGCAUUUGUAUAAAAAUGCCAGAUGGAAGAGAUCUGUGUAUUUGUGUGACUUUGAACUGUGAAGAUGCUCCAUCAUCUUAACUUCAAACAAACUCAACAGAUAUUAUAAUUUCUGCAUUAUUCAUCACCAUUUUCAGAAGAUGACUGUAACUGUAUUUUUGUAGCCAUCUGAUCAACUACCACACUUAUUUUAGUGCUCUCAGUAGAAGCUUUCCUAAGCUCUUUUAAACUGAGGUGUUCCUCCCUUAAUGGCUCUGCAGCACGUUUCUGUGCAUAGCCCUACAAACUCAUUUUAACAAGGACUGAGUUUUGCAUAUAUUUUCAAUACUAUUAAGUCAUUCAUUCUUUGCACACAUAAAAAAAUGUUUUCUUAUCCUCAAUGUGUUUUACUUCAAAAAUGUCCCAGGCAGAGACCCCAGAAUUAUUUUGCAAAACUUCAUGGUACACAUUCCUUUGAGGUCCUAGAUCUUUUUCCCUCCCAUAUUUGGAAGGUUUCUGCCAUUCUUCUUUUGUCUCUGACAGGGCUUGAAGGUCACCGUCUGCUGUGUCAUUUCACACAUGAUCACUAUAGUCAUUAACCAAUCAACUCAGGCAAGGUACAGUCAGCUGACCCCAGAAUCCCUCCACCAGACACAAAGACCCUUCUAUAAUACAGUACAGUACUUGCACAUAACUUACACACAUCCUGUUGUGUGCACUGAAUCACCUAGCAGAUUACUUAUAAUACCUAAUACAAUGUAAGUGCUGUGUAAAUCGUUGUUAUACUGUAUUGUUUGAAAACAUAAGAAAAAAGUCUGUGUAUAUUCAGUACAGAUACAAUUUUUUUCUGAAUAUUUUCCAUUCAGGUUUGUGGAAUCCAUCAAUGUGGAUGCAGAAGGCUGAUUGUAGUUAAUUUCAUACAAAGUUCAUCUGUAGCAUUGUACUCACCACUACACAUUUUCUUAAAUAUCUUCUUUUUAACCAGCAACUUAUGACUAGGGAUUAUUUGCAAAAUAAUUAGGCACAAAGCACCUCAAAUUUACAGCACAUUGUAUAAACACAAUAAAAACAAAGAUUGCACAAAGCUCAGAAAAUAUCUUUAAUCCAAUCUUAUUGGAUAAGUGUUGUGUGUUCCCUUGUUAUUGCAUGGAUGGUUGGGAAUGAGAACAAGGCUGAGUGAGCUCCCUAGGGACUUCACACCUGGACCCAUGAUGCUCACAAGGUUAUGAUGGUGGGACCUUAGGGACUGAGUGGCCAGAGCGGGCAGGGUUUGAUGGGUACCAGGAACCUCUGGGACAAACCACUACAGAAAAAUGCAGUUUGAAAACUGUAGCUUUACUUGAAUGGAUCAAUUUGUUAGAACAUGUCAACAGAUAAAGGCAAUCAGUUCUACUGGAAAAAGCAAACACUCAGGAGUCAGACCCAAUCUCAAAUCCUGUAUUUGUGACUCUUAAGUAUUAGGAUAUAAUGUUUAUGUUACUUUAAUGCAGUUUUAUUUUGGUGGAUUGAAUUUACCAGGCAUUUCAAGUUUAUAGGGUUGUCAUUUCAAAUGAAGGCUGAGUUUUAAAAAGAUAUCUAAAGUUGGAGUAACUACUGGUGAAUAGGGAUUUCUACUUUAUUAAUAAUAGAAAGUCUCUAAAUACAAUAGCUUUUUGUAGGUACUUUGUUUAAAACCCAAUGUUUUAAGUUGUUUGCAUUUUAUGAAUCAUUUGAUUUUCCAUUUUAAAUCUUGAGUUUACAUAGGAAGAGAGGAUGAGAAAUAUUGACAAUCCUUCUAGGAACUGAUAUUCUAGAUGAAAUCAGUAUCUGACAGAAUAACUGAUCAACACCAGCUAGACUAUGUGGUAUCUCCUUUAAUCAUCCUAGAAGUUGUCUUCUUUUUUGUUUUUUUUCUAUUUCUUUUUUAAAUUUUUAAUUUUUUUUUUAUUUGACAGGUAGAGUUAUAGACAGUGGGAGAGAGACAGAGAGAAAGGUCUUCCUUCCGUUGGUUCACUCUUCUAAUGGCCGCUACGGCCGGUGCUACUCCAAUCUGAAGCCAGGAGCCAGGUGUUUCUUCCUUGUCUCCCAUGCAGGUGCAGGGACCCAAGCACUUGGGCCAUCCUCCACUGCCUUCCUGGGCCACAGCAGAGAGCUGGACUGGAAGAGGAGCAACUGGGACUAGUACCCAGCACCCCAACUAGGACUAGAACCUGGUGUGCUGGUGCCGCAGGCGGAGGAUUAGCCAAGUGAGCCAUGGUGCUGGCCUGUUUUUUCUAUUUCUUUUUUUUUUUUUAAGAUUUUUUUAAAUUUUAUUUAGUUGACAUGUAGAGUUACAGACAGUGAGAGGGAGAGACAGAGAGAAAGGUCUUCCUUCCGUUGGUUUACCCCCCAAAUGGCCGCUACUGCCUGUGCACCACGCUGAUCUGAAGCCAGGAGCCAAGUGCUUCUUCCUGGUCUUCUAUGUGGGUGCAGUGCCCAAGGACCUGGGCCAUCCUCCACUGCCCUCCCGGGCCACAGCAGAGAGCUGGAGUGGAAGAGGGGCAACCGGGACUAGAACCCGGGGCCCAUGUGGGAUUCCGGCGCCAGAGGCAGAAGAUUAGCCAAGCGAGCCACAGCGCCGGCCCCUGUUUUUUCUAUUUCUUAAGAAGCUCUGUCCUACGUGACAGGGCCCAGGUAAGGGACACAAGGGGGACAGAUGAGCAUUGGAAACACUGGGGCAUGACUUAGUCCCACAUGGACAGAAAUCUUGUGCUCUUUCCCCUCCUCCUGCUCUCUGUCUCUUGUUAGAUUUCUAUCCCUGCGUCCUUUCUUCUCAGAGUCAAACUCCAUCUAGAACUUUUUGCACUUCUUCCUCUGUUGACCUUGACCUCCUGGACUUUGUGACAAGAACACAGAAAAUAGCAGAAGGCGCACAAUCUGGUUGCAUUUUGCCAUCUUUUCUUUAAAAGCAAAAAGCAAAACCCUCAAAACAUAAACUGCUCAAUUGUCACCUUCAAGUUGGUUUUGUGAUUUAGUCUGUUGGUGUCACUGAGUUGGUGCAAUUUUAAUUACUAGCUUGUUUUUGAGAUGCAAUGCCUCCUGAUGGCUUCUGUGUCAUGGGAGUUUGCCAGAGGAAUUAACUGUUUUUUCUUUAAAAUACUACAUAUUGUUCUUUGGUAAAAGUUGAGUAAUCGCCAACAGGCAUGGAAUUGUCUGGUGGUGUUUAAUGCCUGUGUGCUCAGAUAUACAUUUUCUACUCUGCUGCAGAAGAAAUGCUGGAAAAAUCACAUUUCGUUUUGGGGGGACUACGAAAUGGAAAUUCUGUAUAACCAUUCCUCCUAUUCAACCGCAAAGGGCGUGGAUCCCUUUUUCCUAACGGUCUGUUUGUUGGGCCCAGAAUCCAGUCUCCUGUCAGGGAAACAUAAAAUAAAAGCCAUCGUGCAUAACCAUGGAGUUGACGUGUUUAUUUUUGUAUCAGGCAAUCCGUCCAACAAGACUUUGGAAACGUUUUUUUUAAAAUUGGCCUCUAUUUGCUACCGCUGCGGAUCCUGGUCUUGACUUUCGGGGUGGUUUCAUGGCCAGCUGGUGGUUUCAAAUGCUGAAGGAGUUUGACGAUUCAUCAUGUGCUUUGUGGAAAGGCUGUCCCGUGUCACUGAGACCUUUAUUAAUUUACGCAAGGGUUGGUGUGAGCUUCCCGAAUGUGAUUAGUCUGCAACUGUCCCCCGAGGGCGGGGAAGGGCUGGGGACACUCAGUGCGGUGCAGUCAGUCGUGGGAAUGCCCAGUUCCCUGCAGUCUCUGUCGUCCUUAAAAGGACAGUUUCUCCUACACCAGGGAUGGGAUGCACUCUCUCUCUCUCUCUCUCUCUCUCUCUUUCCCCCUCUCUUCCUUCAGAUUUAUUUACUUAUUUGAAAAGCAGAAUGACACACACACACACACACACACACACAGAAUCUUCCAUCUGCUGGUUCACUAACCAAAUAGGAGUGAACAUCUAGGUCUAGUAUGAGAGCCAGGGACUCCAUCCUUGUUUCCAUCAGCUGCUUUCCCAGGUGCAUUAGCAGGGAGCAAAUGGAACUAGAACAGGUGCUCUGAUAUGGGAUGCUGAAGCUGCUUAACCCUCUAAGCCAUAGUGCUGUCCCUAAUUGAGGGGCUUCCACUGCAUGUUUUCUUUCCUAUCAUAAAUUCAGGGGGUUUUCUAACUGUGUGGCCAUCACAGAUGCUUUCUGCCACCUCUGAAGUCCUGCAUGAAUAUCUCAAGUCCCUUAUUCUCAGCAGAGCUCAGCUGCCUAUGACCAUGCCUGUGGGCAGCCGCUGGACCAUAUCAUCACCCCAGGGACAAGCCUCAGAUGCCCAAGUCCUGGUUAGAAUAUUGUCUCUCUCUGAAGCUGCUGAUGCAACAUCCUGGCACUUAAAAAAGUGGGAAACAUCCCAAGUAGUCAGUUACAAGUCAUUUGGUGUGUUCAUUUCUUCCUUAAACUGCAAAUGUCCCUCUGGAAUAAUCAGAGAGUACUUUCUUGCUGGGAUUUAGAUCCAGUAAGGUGAUGGCUCUCGGCCUAGAAAUCUGAUUUUCAAGGGUAGGUUGAAGAGGAGGCUGUGGAGCUAUACUCUGGAUAGCCUGCCAGGGGGCAGACCCAGAACUGGCAGCCACCAGGUGGUACGUGAACUGGCAAAGAGCAUGAAGAAGGUGUCAGCUUCCUGUAGUGCAGAAAAAAGAGCAGGAAACCAGCGAGAUGCCUCUGAAGAUGAGUGAACAACGUAAGGAUUUCCUAGUAGAUCUUGGUAGUGAGAUUCUCAGAGUCUUGUGCUUGACCUCUAGGCCUGUCCAUCUGCCCAGCCCCAUCCACCUCCAGAUGAAGCUCAUAGGAUGUAGUAGGAGCUCACUAACGGUUGCGGCUAUGGGCUGAGCUGAACGUAAGCCUCUCCUAAGCCAUUGGUGCUUGUCCUUCAAAGGCGAAACAGCACAGAGAACCUGUGGCAUGAGCAGAAUGUAGCGCUGCUCUGUAGGGACUGUGGAAUCUGAAGGAGUUUGCCAACCAUGGGGUGAGAAACACCGCAGCCAAGUAGAAAUGUACAGUGAGAAAUCUGCCGCCUGAGUCCUGUUACAGUGGGGAAGCAAAUGUAUUUCAUGCUCCCGAGUUCUCAUUCUUUCACAAUGGAAUGAUGUCAUCGUAGGAGUAUUUUCAUAGUGCAUCAGGGCUUGGAGUGCAGUUGCACAGGGCGUUCCAUGCUGACUUAUGCAUUGAGCUGCACAUUUCUCACUCAACAAACGUCUGCUUCAGAAAGACCAUGCUGUUGUCAAAAAAGGUGGGAGUAAUCUCUGAAAUACAGUGUUCUCCUACUUAAUCCAAAGUCAUUGGUCUUCAGGGAGAUGUAAGCAAAAGUAAUGAAACCUUCACUUAUUUACCAGAUAGAGACAAUAUGUUUAGUGCUUAACAGUGUUCCAAGAGGGACUCUCUUGGGAGCUCCGUUUAUGUCACAAAUCUGCAGAAAUCCUGCAUUGUUGUCCGUGUCAUGGUUCUUUCCAAGCCAUGGUGGCUUUGGACCGGCCAUCCUAUUUCACAAUUGCUCCCCUAGUUUUAAAACAGCUUGUCAUUGGAAACAUGCACAUGAAAAUUCAAAAGCCAAGGAAAUGUGCAAGGGUGAAAGCAGACUAUGACUAUGGACUCUCUUAAGUAAAACCAUAUACUCCUCUGCCCAGAGAACCCAGUGUAAAAGCCAGGGUCUGGAGCAAGACUGGGAGCUCUGUACAAAGGCUAUAAACUACAUUCUGAGUCUAAUCCUUUAAACUCCAUCUGAGCCUUGGGACCUGGGCCAGGGACUCCUUGCCCAAGUUCAGAAUCACUGGUACAAUAACCUGUAUCUCUAAAGGUACAUGUGUAUGCAUUUUACUCAUUUGUGCAUGUCUCUGUGGGUUUUCUUUUUGAUAGAGAUUUCUUUUAAAGGCCAAGUUUCUCUCCUAAUCACAGAAAGAUACCACUGACAUAUGACAUUUGGAACUAGGGCUUGGUACAACUUGAAUGGAAUUGAAAGAUUGAUCUAGACAUGUUACUAGCUGAAUGUUUAAAAUGAAAUUUUUUCCUAAAAUCACUCACAGUAAUACACUCAUUUCACAUAGAUUCAACCGCUGUUAGGCUUUCUGGUGUCCUAACAGAAAAAAAAUGCCACUUGUCCUGUCAUCAGUAUGCUAUCCUGUCCAGGGUAUUUUUUGUUUUUCACAAAGGUGACUUCAGAAGGGUCCCAGCUUGCAGGGCUUGAACUACCCUGCAGCUCUGCAGAAAAAGGUUGCAACUCAUCUUCAGAUGCAAUAGGUUCUAAUUUUUCACCUAAUUCAAAUUUUAUGAACACUCGCAGUCUUACUUGUGGUUUCUCUGAUGUUGUUAGUUUUUUUUUUAAGAUUUAUUAUUUAUUUGAAUGACAGAGUUAUAGGGAGAAAGGGAAAAACAGAGAGAGAUCCUCCAUCCAUAGAUUCACUCUCUAAAUGGUUUCAGCAGCCAGGGCUGUGCCAAGCUGAAGCCAGAAGCCAGGAGCUUCUAGUGGGUCUCCCACGUACAUGCAGAGGCAUAAGCACUUGGACCAUCUUCAUUGCUUUCAGAGGCUCAUUAGCAGGGAGCUGGAUUGAAAGUGGAGCAGCUGGGACUGAAACUGGUGCCUAUAUGGGAUGCUGGAAUGCAGGCAGCUCUUUAGCCCACUGUGCUGCAGCGUUUGCCCUGAGGUUGCUAGUGUUUUACAGAUACAUAGUCUUAGUGGGAAGUAGGGUAUGCAUGAAAACUUGCCUCAUCUAAAGUCACUGUGUUGUUGCUACUCAAAAAGGAACAUUUCUCCAUGGGAUAUGUUCUGUGACUCCUCUGGACAUAAAACCUGAAAAUCCAUACAACUAAAUAAAACCGGCUGGGAAAUAUAGGGCUCAGCAUUUAAGCAAGGGUGUCCAAGAGAAGUACUUCAAUGCAGCGUCUCUCAAAGCUCUUUAUACCUUGUUGAGAGAUCUAUUUCUUUAAGUCACUGAGGCAAACUUUGUUCAAAGCUCCUCAUAAUUUUCCCAGACAAGAAAAUCACUUUAAUGGCUAUGGAGGGAAACUCAUGCACAGGGCUCUGAUUUGGAGAGCCUCAGUGAAGGAUUUGCAUGGUGUAAGCCUAGGGCUCUGCUCUGCUGGUGGAAUCCAGCAGGGAAGCCCGAUUUAUCCCACGUAAUCACCUUGUCUAUCUCCCUAUCAUCUGUGUGUCUGUAUCUUUUUUUUUGCCUGAUAAUAUUUUUCUUGACUCUACAUGGCUCCAGCAAGAGUUGAGGAGGACUGAACAGCCAUUAUAGCAGACCAGGUACAGAGCUGCUAGGAAGCCGGCGGCUUAUGCCUGUUACAUGAAAUAUCGCUUCUUGGAUCUUGCAGGACACAUUGGUGACAGAAGCCUCAAAAAGGACACAAACCACGAAGGCAGUGAUGAUGACAAAGAAACAGAGCUGGAAUGGAACUCCCAGCUUGCUGUCAGGCCCGUCGCCGCUCCCCAUCCAUGGCAUCACUGAGCACAGGCUGAAAGAGCAGCGUGGUCAGCCAUUUGUUUUGCUUUUCCUCCCACUGGUUUGUUUCCUAGUUAACAUUAUGGGUUUCGUUAUGGAGUAGGACAAGGGGACUUCAAAACAUUUGUGGAAAAGUGCAACUAAGAGAUGGACGUAGGGGCUGGUGUUGUGGCACCACUGGCUUAGUGUGACUUGGGACACCUGCAUUCCGUAUCAGAGUGCCUCAUUUGAGUCCUGGCCACUCUACUUCUAGCUGGCUGAAAAUGCACCUGGGAGGCAGUGGAUGAUGGUACAAGUGCCUGCCACCCACGUGGGAGACUAGGAUGGAAUUCCUGGCUUCUGGCUUCAGCCUGGCCCAGUCCUGGCUGUUGUGGGUAUUUGGGGAGUAAACCAGCAAAUAGAAGAGCCUUUCUCUCUCUCUUUCUCUCUCUCUCUUCUCCCUCUCUCCUCCUCUCCCUCUCUCUUUCUCUCUGUCUCUCCUUUUCAAAUGAAUAAAUCUUCUUUAAAAAUAAGAUAAGCUUAUUUUGAGGGCAGUUUUUUUAAAUCUACUUUUUUUUCAUAGUGUACAUUUUCCAUGAACUCUAUAGAUCUCGUUAUAUGUUUUAGAUAUGUACAUACAAUUACGAAGAAAAAAUAUUUCUAAUUACAUUUGUAAAUUGAAGGCAAUAAAAGACAGGCAUCUAGCUAGGUGACCAAAGAGUGAGUGGCUUUCAGACAGAGGCCACUUAAGGAGUAUUUAUUGAAUGAGUAAAUACAGUUACUGGUGGGGAUGAGCCUAAGCACAAAAUUUUCUGUUCUCAACGAAAAUUAUUUUAUGGUGUUUAUUUGAUAACAUAGGAAAGUUUUUAUGCUAGAAUAAACAGCUAAGGGAUAUUUUUGAAGAAGGAAAAAACAUUCUGCUUACCAAGUGAUUUUCAAGGGUCUGGAAUUUCACCACCUCUCUCACUGGGCAAGAAACACAAUGAGCAUCUAUAACUCAUGAAAUAUGCCCAGCCAUCUCAGUCACACAUUUGCCCAACAGCUGCUUUUUGACGUUAAAACUAAGCACAAAACAUUUCCAAUGAAAGGAAGCUGAAAAUCAAACAAACAGUGGGUCUAUCACAGAAGAGACCGCUUCUCUGCAUUGAUUGAGACUGGGCCGUGUUAUGACAAGAAAGAGAGAGAGAGAGAGAGAGAGAGAGAGAGAGAAACUGGCAAUUAAAUUGCCUACCUGGCAUUUUUAUAUGCUAAAGAUUUAGAAUAAAGGGGCUUCUGGAAUGUGAAGAGAAGAGGUUUGACAAAGCGCUUGGUGCCUUCCUCACCUGAACUAAUUAUUUCCCAAGUGAAUGAAAGCAGCAAUGGCCAUAUAGUGGUACCUCCAUUCCCUUCAUAAAGUCUUCGACUGGCUGUUGCCAGGCCAUGGCAUCCUAGUGAGCAUCGUCCUUCUCCAGUGCAUGCCAAAGCCACAGAGUCGCUGCUCACGCCUUCCGCUCCCGCGAGCCCUCUACCCAGUCACGGCUGCGGUCGCCCUCCAGCAUUUCUCUGCUCUGAUCCUGUAGCCUUGCCUGGCAGCUCCUGCUUUGCAUUCACAGGGCACUCUGCUCUUCCUCCUAGCACUGAUGACGGUUUGUACUCACACCCGUUUUAUGUUAGUCAAGAUUGUUGUUUUCCUAGAGGGUACAUUCCAGACAGCUGGGGUGGUUUGCUCACUAUUGUAUCUCUAGCACCUAGCACUGUGCUCAGUACAGACUUCAAAAUGAAUGAAUGAAU